UCCUCCAAUUCAAAGGGAGUCAUCAUUUGGCACCUGCCAACUUUUGAUAUGACACCCAGCUCCCCUUUCCCCACCUGAACAGCCCUUCCAAAACUCUAGCCAUGCUCUAGAGCUAAUCAGGACACUGCAGAGAGAGAGAGAGAGAGGGAGAGAGGUGGCCAAAACAACAGUAGUCAUGGCAACCUCAGGGGAGAGCAGGUGCACCUCCCUUGUGUGCUCUUGUUAUGCACCAGUUAAGUAUCACAGUAGCAAGAGCAUCGAGGGAAGGGAUGGUACAAGGGGCAGUAAGGCUAUAAGUGGGAAGAGAGCUGGUCAUGCCAAUGGCAAAGGUGCAUCUCAUAAGCCAUGCAUACAACCUCACCCUGUCCCUCUGAAGAGCAACCUUAAGAAACCAAACAGGGUGGGAGAGCAGCAGCAGCAGCAGCAGCUGCAGGAGGAGGAGGUGGUGACGAUGAGGGAUGGAAGGAGGAAAGUGAGCUGGUCUGAUGCCCAUGGCGGAGACCUUGCCCAUGUUCAGGAGUUUUACUCAAGUGUGCUGGAGGAGGGGGAGUUUAAAGGAGUAGGAGGGUCUUGCGUUUGUGUCAUUCAGUGAAGAAGGUGGCCAGAAGAGAUUGGCCAUCAAAAGGAAGAGUGCAACACAUCUAAAACUGUCAAGUGACAAAGAAAAGCAUCAUUCCCUCGCCAACGGAAAUUCUGAAGAUAACAAGCUGCUGAUGGACAGGAUAAAAUAGAUGCUGCGGCGGUUCAUGGGAGGAUUUACUUCAAGUAGGCAAUGGCUUACAAAAGGCUAUGCUCCCCUAUGGAGCCUUCCUGACCAAAAACUGACCCUGGUUUGAUGGGAAAGAAAGUGUUGUUGUUGUACAGGUUGUUAUGCAAAUGUGUGAAGUAGUCCUGAAGGAUCCAACUGAUCAUGUCAUUCUAGCAUUAGCAUCCUGUUCAGCUGUGAGGAUCUUGUAUCCCAGAUAUCAUUGAUGGUUGUGCAGGAAAACUUGGAUGACAUUGUCAUAAAUUGCAGCAUUCCAAGGGUUUGUUAAA